rnacentral:rRNA from 1 species
GAGUUUGAUCAUGGCUCAGAUUGAACGCUGGCGGCAUGCUUUACACAUGCAAGUCGAACGGCAGCACGAGUGCUUGCACUUGGUGGCGAGUGGCGAACGGGUGAGUAAUGCAUUGGAACGUGCCUUGUAUUGGGGGAUAACUGAGCGAAAGCUUAGCUAAUACCGCAUACGCCCUGAGGGGGAAAGCUGGGGAUCGUUUGACCUGGCGAUAUAAGAGCGGCCAAUGUCUGAUUAGCUAGUUGGUGAGGUAAAGGCUUACCAAGGCGACGACCAGUAGCGGGUCUGAGAGGAUGAUCCGCCACACUGGGACUGAGAGACGGCCCAGACUCCUACGGGAGGCAGCAGUGGGGAAUUUUGGACAAUGGGGGGAACCCUGAUCCAGCCAUGCCGCGUGUCUGAAGAAGGCCUUCGGGUUGUAAAGGACUUUUGUUGGGGAGCAAAGGUAUCUGGUUAAGAGCUGGAGAUUAUGAGA